AGUGAGAGGCAGGGCCUCGCCCUCAGGCUCCCCAGGGCCCUGGCCUGCUGUGCUGGUCAGGGCUGCACGCCUGGUCUCUGGGGGUGAGCACCCCGUUGCUUCUGCCCCCCUGCGCUCUGGUGUGUCUCUUGGGGACACAGUCCUCCUCUCCCUCCUUCUCCUUCCCCUCUUCCUCCGCUCCUUGAAUUCAUUUUCCCUCUCGUUUUUUUUCUUAAAGCAUUGCCAUAUUUUUUAAAUAUUUAUUUAUUCAUUUAUUUGGUUGCGCUGGGUGUUAGUUACGGCAGGCAGGUUCCUUAGUUGCAGCUUGCGGGCUCCUUAGUUGUGGCACGAGAACUACUAGUUGCGGCAUGAAAGUGGGAUCUAGUUCCCUGAUCAGGGAUCGAAUGCAGGCCCCCUGCAUUGGGAGCGUGGAGUCUUAUCCACUGUGCCAACGGGGACGUCCCUCCCUCUGCUUUUAUAACACACUUCUUGGGCAUUAUCUCUGGUCACUCUCCCUUCCCUCUUUAGACGCCAGCCACACUGGCCUUUUUUCUCCGUUAACUUAUUACUGAAGUAUAACAGGUGCUACCCAAUCUGGGGUCCACAGACUGGUGACAUCUACAAGCCUGCUCGCCGCAGGUCUGCAAAAAUCAGGAGCUUGUAAAUCAGCUGUGACUCUGAGCACACUGGUUUCCUAGCAAGACCCCAGUGGAAACAGCAGUGCGUUGAUUUCUAUUCUGGUCAGAUUCCUGUCUCAUCGCAGGCCGGCAUCUUGAGGAGCACUGAUGCACCGUGCUUGUGGAAAAAUGCAGCACCUCCACCCUGGCUGUGACUUCUGAUUUAACGUCAUGUCUCUGUGCUGUUAUCCAUCAUAUGAUGUGGAGUCUUGUUGCGGUGUUUCUGAUGCCAUGGAAAGAGCAUGAGACUAGGGGCCGGCACGUCCGGAUUCCAGUGCUACCUCCGUCUCACACAGUGUGGUGACCGCCAGCAAUUCUCUCUCCAAAUCUGCGCCUGAGUCCCUCAUCUAUAACAUGAGGAUCAUUGCCGUUGCCUUUCUUUUGUUACAGGUUGUAGUGAAAAUAAACAAUAGAAUGUG